rnacentral:rRNA from 1 species
GACGAACGCUGGCGGCGUGCUUAACACAUGCAAGUCGAACGGAAAGGCCCUGCUUUUGUGGGGUGCUCGAGUGGCGAACGGGUGAGUAACACGUGAGUAACCUGCCCUUGACUUUGGGAUAACUUCAGGAAACUGGGGCUAAUACCGGAUAGGAGCUCCUGCUGCAUGGUGGGGGUUGGAAAGUUUCGGCGGUUGGGGAUGGACUCGCGGCUUAUCAGCUUGUUGGUGGGGUAGUGGCUUACCAAGGCUUUGACGGGUAGCCGGCCUGAGAGGGUGACCGGCCACAUUGGGACUGAGAUACGGCCCAGACUCCUACGGGAGGCAGCAGUGGGGAAUAUUGCACAAUGGUCGGAAGCCCGAUGCAGCAACGCCGCGUGCGGGAUGACGGCCUUCGGGUUGUAAACCGCUUUCGCCUGUGACGAAGCGUGAGUGACGGUAAUGGGUAAAGAAGCACCGGCUAACUACGUG